rnacentral:rRNA from 1 species
AGUGAACGCUGGCGGUAGGCCUAACACAUGCAAGUCGAACGGCAGCACAGGAGAGCUUGCUCUCUGGGUGGCGAGUGGCGGACGGGUGAGGAAUACAUCGGAAUCUACUCUGUCGUGGGGGAUAACGUAGGGAAACUUACGCUAAUACCGCAUACGACCUACGGGUGAAAGCAGGGGAUCUUCGGACCUUGCGCGAUUGAAUGGGCCGAUGUCGGAUUAGCUAGUUGGCGGGGUAAAGGCCCACCAAGGCGACGAUCCGUAGCUGGUCUGAGAGGAUGAUCAGCCACACUGGAACUGAGACACGGUCCAGACUCCUACGGGAGGCAGCAGUGGGGAAUAUUGGACAAUGGGCGCAAGCCUGAUCCAGCCAUACCGCGUGGGUGAAGAAGGCCUUCGGGUCGUAAAGCCCUUUUGUUGGGAAAGAAAUCCAGCUGGCUAAUACCCGGUUGGGAUGACGGUACCCAAAGAAUAAGCACCGGCUAACUUCGUGCCAGCCGCCGCGGUAA